UAACCUGCCCUUGACUUCGGGAUAACUCCGGGAAACCGGGGCUAAUACCGGAUAUGAGCCGUCCUCGCAUGGGGGUGGUUGGAAAGUUUUUCGGUCAGGGAUGGGCUCGCGGCCUAUCAGCUUGUUGGUGGGGUGAUGGCCUACCAAGGCGACGACGGGUAGCCGGACUGAGAGGGCGACCGGCCACACUGGGACUGAGACACGGCCCAGACUCCUACGGGAGGCAGCAGUGGGGAAUAUUGCACAAUGGGCGAAAGCCUGAUGCAGCGACGCCGCGUGAGGGAUGAAGGCCUUCGGGUUGUAAACCUCUUUCAGCAGGGAAGAAGCGCAAGUGACGGUACCUGCAGAAGAAGCGCCGGCUAACUACGUGCCAGCAGCCGCGGUAAUACGUAGGGCGCAAGCGUUGUCCGGAAUUAUUGGGCGUAAAGAGCUCGUAGGCGGUUUGUCGCGUCUGGUGUGAAAACUCGAGGCUCAACCUCGAGCUUGCAUCGGGUACGGGCAGACUAGAGUGCGGUAGGGGAGACUGGAAUUCCUGGUGUAGCGGUGGAAUGCGCAGAUAUCAGGAGGAACACCGAUGGCGAAGGCAGGUCUCUGGGCCGCAACUGACGCUGAGGAGCGAAAGCAUGGGGAGCGAACAGGAUUAGAUACCCUGGUAGUCCAUGCCGUAAACGUUGGGCACUAGGUGUGGGGCUCAUUCCACGAGUUCCGUGCCGCAGCAAACGCAUUAAGUGCCCCGCCUGGGGAGUACGGCCGCAAGGCUAAAACUCAAAGGAAUUGACGGGGGCCCGCACAAGCGGCGGAGCAUGCGGAUUAAUUCGAUGCAACGCGAAGAACCUUACCAAGGCUUGACAUGCACGAGAAGCCACCAGAGAUGGUGGUCUCUUUGGACACUCGUGCACAGGUGGUGCAUGGUUGUCGUCAGCUCGUGUCGUGAGAUGUUGGGUUAAGUCCCGCAACGAGCGCAACCCUCGUCCCAUGUUGCCAGCGGGUUAUGCCGGGGACUCAUGGGAGACUGCCGGGGUCAACUCGGAGGAAGGUGGGGAUGACGUCAAAUCAUCAUGCCCCUUAUGUCUUGGGCUUCACGCAUGCUACAAUGGCCGGUACAAAGGGCUGCGAUACCGUAAGGUGGAGCGAAUCCCAAAAAGCCGGUCUCAGUUCGGAUUGGGGUCUGCAACUCGACCCCAUGAAGUCGGAGUCGCUAGUAAUCGCAGAUCAGCAACGCUGCGGUGAAUACGUUCCCGGGCCUUGUACAC
rnacentral:rRNA from 1 species